rnacentral:rRNA from 1 species
UGGUUUAAUUCGAAGCAACGCGAAAGAACCUUACCAGGUCUUGACAUCCCGAUGCUAUUUCUAGAGAUAGAAAGUUACUUCGGUACAUCGGUGACAGGUGGUGCAUGGUUGUCGUCAGCUCGUGUCGUGAGAUGUUGGGUUAAAGUCCCGCAACGAGCGCAACCCCUAUUGUUAGUUGCCAUCAUUCAGUUGGGCACUCUAGCGAGACUGCCGGUAAUAAACCGGA